AUUACCCAUUGUUUGAUUAUACGGUCAAUAGAUCUGGAGACUUAUUUCAAGAAUCAAGAGUGAAGUGAAGAAAGAAAGAGAUCCAACGAAACGACGAUAGAGGGAGAUCGAGCAACCAAGUGACUGAGUGAGUAGAAAGAGAUUUUUGAUUGAACCCUCUGUAUGUGCUCCAUUGUUCGCAAUGUCUGAAAAAGCUAAUGAAAAUGAUGGUGAUGGGGACGUCAUUGAAGUACAUGACAUUUCAACUCCAAAUUCUCCCAGAAAGCGGAAGUUGACAUCAAAGAUCAAAUAAAUAUCUUCGAUAUUUCAACAUACCCAUUCAAGUAUAAACUUCUAGUGAGUACACUCACCUUUGCUACUUUUGAAAUUGUUUAUUUAUCCUUCGGUAAUGUUGAAGUUGUCGGCUCUGUUUCCUUGUUUAUACAACAUUAUAACCAUGUUAUAUAUAUUGCAAAAAGAUUAAACAAUUAGUCAUCAAUUCAAACAUAAAUUCCACCAACGGGCCAGUGGCCUAGUGGUAUCAGUCUCUUACCUCUCAAAGGGAGGUCAGCGGUUCAAGUCUCAGAAGAGACAAGUGUGUGUGAGUACUACACGAACACGACCCCCUCUACACGAAAAUGUCAUAUAGAUAAAAAAGAGCAAUGCUAGAGUUCAUAAAAAAAAAAAAAAAAAGCCCAUAAAUUCCAGCCUUGGUACAUAAUUGUAAUUGAAAUUCGAAUAACAACCACAUAGAUUUAACUUAAGCAUAGUAAUUACAAUCAAUUAAGAAUUGUAUUCCUUUAUAUAAUUUAACACUCGACUAGAAAAAUAAUGAAAUAAAUGGAUUUUAUUCAAGAGCACCUCAAUAAAUAAAUUAUUGAAGAAUUAGAUAAUAUAAACUUCAAAUACAUAAUCAUAAAUCCGAAACCCCCUACCUUUAGUACUAUCUACAAGAAUUUUAGAGAACUUUUCUUUUCCUCUUCCUUCUUUCCUUCCUUUCUUGCUUUUCCUUUUCUUUUAUUUUCGCUAUCUGAUCCUUUAUAACAAAACACGUUUUUUCUGUCAUCAGCAAAAUGAAACACUGUUGUUUCGCCCAAAAGAAAACUUUUUUAUGUGUGAGGAUUCUCGGUUCCAAAGGCAGUCUAAAACUAGCUUGUAAACAUACCAUUCAUAUAGGGUAUAAAGAGUUUUUGUGCUGGCAGCAAAUUCUUUCUCCUCCAUAAUUCCAUGCAUGAAAUUCUUUAUUGCAAGAACAUGUGAACUUUACUUAUUUCUCUUUAUUCUAAUUGGUCACUACAAUCUAUCUACAUGUUUAGUGAAAGUAAAUAAAUAGUGUGCUGGCAGAUUUGGUCUUUCAUAAGGAAUUGUCAUAUAAAUAAACUACAAGUCAACAAAGCUACUAAAAAAAGUAUUUCAAUUUAACUAGCAUAAUAGCUAACCCCGCUAGCACAUAGUUUAGAAGGCUUCACCUUUAGCUUAAGUAGCAACACUUUUUAUGGUCAUGUAGGUUUCUUUUGCAUUUGGGUCCUUUUGCCCAACAUCUCUGGGACAAAGUCAAUGCUUGAAGCUCCCAUCAUUGUAGGGACUGUAAUUAUAUAUACAUAUAUAUAUAUAAGUAAUCUUUAUAUACAAUGGAAUUAAGAAAUGAUUUUUUUAUUCCUCUAAUUGUAGUAGUAAUUGUUGAGAUAGAAUGAUAGAUUAUUAGAUGUUGGUGGUUUUUCAAGUUAUAGCAUGGGUUUUAAUUAGGUUGCACAAAUGGGUUUCUACAUGUGAACAGAAUGGUGAUUUUACCAACAAUUGUCACAUGUUGCAAUUUGGCUGCAGAUGUUGUGUAUUCAGUUCAUUGUUAGAGACUCAAAUUUGGUCUUAAUUGGUCUUGAUUGAAUAGUAGUAAUAUCAAUUGGGAUUGUGAGGGUAUAUGCUUAUGCUUUUAGGGUUGGGUAAACUAUAGUGAGGCUAUUGUCACGGGCUUAGAGUUUCAGCACCACUCUAGCUACUCCCGUGCGGCACCAAGACGUUGCUUCCACUCUCGCAAGUACUUGGUCAGCCUAACUCCCGUGCACACCUUAGCCAACACACUCCCCUCGUGCGCUUACCAGUGUUGUAGUGGCUCUCACCCUCUCCUCACUUGGCUUGCACACUCACACACACUAAGGCACUUAAGUUGGCAAGGAAAGAACACUUCUAUUACUUCAAAGAAUGCUUUGUAUAAGGCUAGCACUCAAGCUCUCUACAAGGCUCUCAAGACUCACUCUAGGACUUGUUGGCUACAAAAUGAAGUCAUACUCCUAUUUAUAGGCAUCCACAUCCCUAAUGGAUGGUUAGGAUGCAUUCUAACCAACGGUGGAGAUCGAUUCUUUAGAAUCUUCUCCCACCUUCUUCACACUUCCAUACUUAUCUACUAGUAUCUACAACAUUUUAGAACUCUUCAUACUACUCCACACAAUUCUGGAGAACUCUAGAAUAUACUAUACAUAUCUAGAAUUUUCCACACAACUCUAGAAAAUUCCGAAAGACUCUAGAAACUCCACUCGCCAUACAAUUGCCAUACAGCGUCUGCGUGUCGCCUGCGUGGCACAACCUCCAUAGGCGGGGCGUGACAUUCUCCCCUACCCAUUUCCGUGACGCCGUCGUCACGGUUUCUUCAGCUGACCCAGCCUCUCGCAGGUCAUCAGCACUUGCGCAUAUGUCCUUGGCCCAAACGUAUGAGCGCCCUUCGGGAGAUGUGAGGUCCUUACGAGCUCCAUUGUGUUGACUGCCACCUCUGGACUCUCCUUCCUGCCCACGAGCGACACCAUGCAUGCGGCCUUGCCUUCUUCACCUCCAAGUAUCAUCAACGCACCAAGGCAUGGUAGUGGCGCGGCGUUGUUCCUGUCCAUGAAUUCCAGCCCUAGCACCAUGUCGUGGUCGUCCAUCUCCGCAACCUGGAAGUCGGCCUUGCCCUUCCAUUCUUGCAUGCAUAGCUCCACCUCCUUGCACACUCUACUCACGUGUGCCUCCUCAGAGUUGACGGCCUUGAUCCAGCCCUCUGUUUUGCGCAUCUCCAAGCCAAGUCAUUACGCCUCUUUCGGGGUAAUGAAGUUGUGUGUGGCGCCCGUGUCCACUAACGUUUGCACGACUUUGCCACCAACCUGCGCAUCCACAUAGCGCACCCCAGCUACCUUCUUUACCUUGCCCUUCUUCUUGGUGUCAUGCGCCAUGCUACUCAGCAUCUGCAUAGCCCCCAUGCACCUGUCUUUAUCGCUACCCGCAUCGUCCAUCUUACCCUUGCCCUUAUCCUUCACAAGAGCACUCAUGGUCUUCUUGUUGGGGUAGUGUUGCAAUAGGUGCAGCCCUUCGCACAAGUAGCACUUCGGCGGCUCCCACUUGCCCUUAUCGCGGCACUCCCCGUUGCCACUAGCCUUGGACCUCUGUCCAUGGUCCUUGCCCUUGUUAUGGUAUGGGCGUCUCUCCUCAUCGCUGUGCUCAUCAUCACUGGACUUGGGUGAGCCCCCUUUCUUGAAGCGUCGGUCUCCCCUACCUUUGCUGUGGUCCCUCAUGGGAGACGUGGCCCUCUUGUCAUUGCGCCUAAAGUCUUCAAGGCGCUCCGCUAUAGCCAUUGCGGAUGCCAAGUCUCUAGGCUCCCUCCUUCUCAGCUCUGUGGCUACCCAAGACUGCAACCCAUCAAUGAACAAGCACACGCGUUGCCACUCCGGCAUCUCUGGGAUCUCUAACAUCAAGUUAGAGUACUCCUUCACAUACUCCCUUAUGCUGCCUUUCUGCUUCAGGCACCUUAGGUUGAUUAUGGCGAGGUCCUCGACGCACUCAGGGUAGAACUGCCUCUUGAGCUGCCUUUUGAACUCCUCCCAUGUGUCAACCGCUCUUGCGCCCCUGCUGGUAAAGCGCUGCCUCCACCAUAGAGCGACAGUGUCUGUGAGGUACAUGGUACCUGUCUGCACCUUCUCCUCAUCAUCCUCGAUCUCCAUACACUCGAAAUAUCGCUCCAUGUGACAGAAGAAGUUGUCAAUCUGGCGCGCAUUCCUUGCCCCAUCAUACUCCUUGGGCUCCAGCGCCUUCUUCUUCCUUGGCUUCACCACGACCUCGCGCGCCUGGGAGAACUACUUUUUGCACUCGGCAAUCUCCACGCGCAAAUCGUUUACCCGAUCAUACAAGUCCCUUUCCUUCUCUUGCGCCUUGUUGGCGAUGCCAUUAAUCAGCUCGUAGAGCUCCGCCAUCCUUCUCUCGAGCCUGUUAAACUUGGUCUCCGUGUAGACCAAGUGUGUGGCAAGCUUCUCCUCCAAGCUCUAUUCCAAGACGUGGACCUGGUGGUCUCCUCCGCUAGCCAUGUCUACUCCAACAAAGCUCCCUUGAUGAACUUGCUCUGAUACCAACUGUCAUGGGCUUAGAGUUUCAGCACCACUCUAGCUGCUCCCGUGCGGCACCAAGACGUUGCUUCCACUCUCGCAAGUACUUGGUCAGCUUAACUCCCGUGCAUACCUUAGCCAACACACUCCCCUCGUGCGCUUACUAGUGUUGUAGUGGCUCUCACCCUCUCCUCACUUGGCUUGCACACUCACACACACUAAGGCACUUAAGUUGGCAAGGAAAGAACACUUUUAUUACUUCAAAGAAUGCUUUGUACAAGGCUAGCACUCAACCUCUCUAUAAGGCUUUCAAGACUCACUCUAGGACUUGUUGGCUACAAAAUGAAGUCAUACUCCUAUUUAUAGGCAUCCCCAUCCCUAAUGGAUGGCUAAGAUGCAUUCUAACCAACGGUGGAGAUCGAUUCUCUAGAAUCUUCUCCCACCUUCUUUACACUUCCAUACUUAUCUACUAGUAUCUACAACAUUCUAGGACUCUCCAUACUACUCCACACAAUUCUGGAGAACUCUAGAAUAUACUACACAUAUCUAGAAUCUUCCACACAACUCUAGACAAUUCCGAAAGACUCUAGAAAUUCCACUCGCCAUGCAGUUGCCAUGCAGCGUCUGCGUGUCGCCUACGUGGCACAACCUCCAUAGGCGGGCGUGACACUAUGCUUGGAUAAGAUUUGGAACUUCAAUCCUUCACAAAGCGCACACUUCAAAAUCUUAAAUCGCAUAAUCUUUUUAAACGGGUGUCACUCUCAGGUUUCAAGUGCACUCCCACUAUCACACUCGAUUCUCACUUUGUAUGACUUAAGUUUUGCAACUGUCGCGCUCUAUAUAACUUAGACACACAGUCUUGUGAAAAUCAAGCCAUGUUGAUGUAGAUAUAUAAAUAUAUAUACAUAUACUUAUAUAUUGUUUGGAUUGAAAUAUGGAUCGAAAUAAUAACCCAUUUUCUAUACCCCUUUACAAAUUGGUUGCUAUAUGCAUAAAAAAUUAUUCGUUAUUUUUGUCAAUUCAAAGGGCAUUAUAGUCAUUUCAUAAUCUGAUGAAAACACAGCCAUCUACAUCAUGUACCUUUAUACUAUCAAUCCCUUCACUGUACAAAAUAUUCUUCUUUAACCAUGCUAUCUCUUGCACAUGAAAUUAUUCAGGCUUAUAUAGAUUUAUUAUCACAGAUGGGACUUGGGAGUCCAAGAAAUACAGAUAUAUUUUUUUUUAAUAGUAGUGAGAAAACCCAGGAAAAAUUUAUUUGUAAUAAUCAUCAACAAGUGAUGUAACUCUAUAUUAUUUUAAUUUUUUUCUUUAAUUUUUUAUUUUUCCUGAAUGUGGGUAUAUUAUAAAAUCAAAUGAAACAAUAUGGUACAAAGAGAGUGAAAAACACUCGGCCCAAAAAGAUAAAGAAAAUAAAACAACAGAACAAACAGCCAAAACAAGGAUUAACAAACUGUUAACAAACAAGUCAAAACAAGCUUCCGAGAUCCUCAAGUGAAAAGCCCCUGAAAAAAUUAUCAACAGAUAACAUCAUGAUGGUAUCUAUGACCUUUGGUAUGUUGUUCUAAGUGGGAAACUGGUAAAUGCACUCAAUUUUAAAGCUAUCAGUAAGUAAAUAAAUAUUAACAACGAGAUUUGAUUAUUCUAGCAACUGAUCUUUUUGUACACAUUCCUUGUCGUUUUGGUACUUAUACGAACACAAAACGUCCUGCAGGGGGGGAUUAUACAGUUCAAUCAUACCGCCAAUGGACCACGCUCACCAGUGUCAUGAGCAAGUUACAAUGCAAGGAGCCUGGGAAAUAUAUACCUAAAAUUUCUCACCUUUGUUAGAUACUGUUCACAUUCUCCCCAACGAGAUUGUGUUUGGAAACACCUUGUUCAGGACAGGUUCCAAUGCUCUUUUGCUGUUGUUGCCAACAAUGUUUUUGUAAAGAUAGUUUUGCUUACUCCUCGUUGGAUACAGAAUAGGGCCCUUGACUCCUUUGUGUCACUAUGAUCAUCGACGUGACA